rnacentral:misc_RNA from 1 species
GGUGGAUGUCCCUUUUCACUAAAUAAUUACUCGGCCAAAACUUGACAAAUUACAAUGUAUUUCAACAGAGUUCAGCAUAUUACAGAUGCAUACAACAAAUCCUGUCUCGGUGUACAACAGAAACUACAACAGGCUGUAAUUAGAAAACUCAUUAAAAAAAUAAAAUGACUUCCAAUAUAUGUUGUUCAAUGCAGCGUGUUAAUCUUCUCAUCCAAAAUCAAGCCUCUCCAGAAUAUGUGCAAUAGGAUGAAACAAAAGAAAAUCUCCUUACCAGCAAAGUUUUCUUGGGGUUUGAACAUUCAAGGGCCAAGACAUGCCACAUCAGAAGAAAAGUAUCCAGGUUUCAGUAAGUGAUUAAGAUUUCCCAUCUAGAAGAUUUGCGACAGAUAGCUUUCUUAGCUUCCUGUCAUGGUUAAGCAUGGCACUAACACUCUCAACCAGCAAAAUAAUCUGCAAAAAUAAUAUUUAAAAAAUAAUGAAAGGAGAAGAAAACAAAGAUUAGUAUGUGGAUUAAAGACGUAAGAACAUUCUAAAGAUGCAUCAACUGACUAGUGAAUCAAAAUCAUUCACAUGCCUCACCAAGAUUUCAAGUCCUAAGCAAAUCUUUGUUCCAUUAUAAAAACUUUUGAGCUGAGCUAAGCGAAUCUUUGUAUAUAUCUAAAACCAAGAAAAUUGGAUUUAGCAAAUAUCUAGAUGCUAUCUUGUUAGAUUGACAUUGCCACAAUUUUUUAACUAGAAGCAUAACUAUUUUUAAUAGUUUAGAUCAGAGAACAAACUUGAGGUUACCAUGCAUAACUUACAAUAGAAAAAUCAAAUGACUCUUAAAGAUAUUUACUUAUGAAAUUUUCUCGGGCAUUUUUAAGAAAUAAAUCAAUUAUUAACUUAUAUCAUUGGAUAAUUUGGUUUGCUGAAGUUCAAUUAAGAUUCAGAAAUUUGGUAGAACAAUUGGUGGAACUCAGUAAAACACUGGUGGGCACCAUGCCAACAAAAUCAAACUUGAGGGUGUAAGAAUCACAAAAAUGAUUAUCUCCAUCAUAAAUCCAUGUUCAACGAUACUUAUGAACCAAGUGAAAGUUACCUUUAUAGUCAAUAUAAACUUUAUAAAGAAUCAUCAAAUACCCUCAAAUAACAAUGACCAUUACUUUUUUAGUCACUAUAACCUUUAUAAAGAAUCAUCAAAUACCCUCAAAUAACAAUGACCAUUACUUUUUUAGUCACUAUAAC